CCGCAAAAUUGCAGUUUUGUAUUUUCAUUUAUUUUAUUCGACACAGCUGCGAAAACCAAGAACCCCAAAUAAAUUUUGCAGUAUAUAAGGGGGAGUUCAACCUUUUUAAAUUCACCGAGCAACGUUUCAGACUCAGGCUUCCACAGACCCACUGUGCAAAGCAACAUGAACCGUCUGUUUGGAGUGGACCUUCUGGAGGUUGUCGCAAUCGUAAUUGGUAAAGAUUGCCUAUUGUAUGCAUAUUUUGUUUAUUCUUCACCCUAUAGUGGAACAAAAUCGUGCGCUACAUUUGCGAACCCGCAACAUCUUCCUCUGAUUUUAGAUAGAUGAAGGACGAGUAAAAAUUUUUGAACGUGUUGAUGCUCAUCAUUGAGCCACUUAAAGAGAAAAAGGAUUAACAUUUUCCGCUCAGACAUCAUGCACCGAUGUAACUCAGAGAAUAUUCGAUCAAGACCACUCCCAUUUCAAUGAACCUCGAGGACUAAACGAAUAAUAAGAAGCUUGCUUUCAAUCGCUCAUGCAAUGAGAAUCAAAUGCUUUGCUGGACGCUUGCAGGGGCGCUGUUUUUUGAAGUAAUACUUCUAAUACGAAAACAAUGUAUUGUUGAAAACAGCAAUGUAUCCUUAUGAACGUUAUAGCGAAGUGAGCAAUUAUGUACUAUGAUCGAAUUCUCGCUUUUCCUGUAAUUUCCUAGUGACAAAUACAAAGAAUUUUUCCAGCGGCGUCGCAUCUGGUUGAGUUAUGUUUAGUGCAAAGUUAUUGGGGGAGCAUACAUCACUGAUAAGUCUUUGCAAAUAAAGGAAGUGUGCCCAAAUUACGGCGUCCAUUUCUAACAAACAUAUUACCUAAUCCUCAACCACUACCACUUAGCUUACGAUGUAAGCAACGUACAAAUAUAAACCUCACAGUUGCGGCACAGUUUAAGCUAAUAUUCUUCACGUUGAUUUUGACUCUUCGAUCGGCCAUCAUACUAAGCAAUACAUGGCGAAUAAAAUAAUCUUGCGCUCCUGUAUGUAUGGAAUCGAGUUAUACUAAAGUAGACAUAUCCAUUAUUAGCUUAAACCACUCAAGCCUUUUGCAUCCGACAACACAUCGUUGUCGAAAUUACUGGACGUGCCUUAAAAUAUGUAUUCUGUGAAAUACAGUCAAUAAUAAUAAUAAAGUAAAUUAUAAUUAUGCAUUCGGAAAUAUAAAUGCAGCUUCUGAUUUUUCCAAGACAUUCCACCUGAUCUUUAAGAGCAGUUAUCGUUAAAAAUGCCGUUAUUGUGUUUCAAAUAGCUUUCUUCUCCGUUUCAGCUUUGAUCGUCAUGGUUCCGAAUGAAGCUUCUUGCAUUUUCGGCGGUGUUGGAGGAAUCGGCGCUCCCGAUUUGUCGGGCAAGAAGUGAAUUACUGCGCAUCCUGCAUCAAGAUAUUCCACCCCUCUCAUGAUUUGCAUGACCGCUACGCCUGCAAUAAAAUGCCUCUUCAAGA